ACUCCUACGGGAGGCAGCAGUGGGGAAUAUUGCACAAUGGGCGCAAGCCUGAUGCAGCAACGCCGUGUGAGUGAAGAAGGUUUUCGGAUCGUAAAACUCUGUCCUAAGGGAAGAAACAAAUGACGGUACCUUAGGAGGAAGCCCCGGCUAACUACGUGCCAGCAGCCGCGGUAAUACGUAGGGGGCAAGCGUUAUCCGGAAUCACUGGGCGUAAAGGGUGCGUAGGCGGCUUGACAAGCCAGGGGUGAAAGGCAUUGGCUCAACCAAUGUAAGCCUUUGGAACUGUUAAGCUUGAGUGCAGGAGAGGUAAGUGGAAUUCCUAGUGUAGAGGUGAAAUUCGUAGAUAUUAGGAGGAACACCAGUGGCGAAGGCGACUUACUGGACUGUAACUGACGCUGAUGCACGAAAGCGUGGGUAGCGAACAGGAUUAGAUACCCUGGUAGCACAGAG
rnacentral:rRNA from 1 species